AUUGAACGCUGGCGGCAGGCCUAACACAUGCAAGUCGAGCGGAUGAAGGGAGCUUGCUCCUGGAUUCAGCGGCGGACGGGUGAGUAAUGCCUAGGAAUCUGCCUGGUAGUGGGGGAUAACGUCCGGAAACGGGCGCUAAUACCGCAUACGUCCUGAGGGAGAAAGUGGGGGAUCUUCGGACCUCACGCUAUCAGAUGAGCCUAGGUCGGAUUAGCUAGUUGGUGGGGUAAAGGCCUACCAAGGCGACGAUCCGUAACUGGUCUGAGAGGUUGACCAGUCACACUGGAACUGAGACACGGUCCAGACUCCUACGGGAGGCAGCAGUGGGGAAUAUUGGACAAUGGGCGAAAGCCUGAUCCAGCCAUGCCGCGUGUGUGAAGAAGGUCUUCGGAUUGUAAAGCACUUUAAGUUGGGAGGAAGGGCAGUAAGUUAAUACCUUGCUGUUUUGACGUUACCAACAGAAUAAGCACCGGCUAACUUCGUG
rnacentral:rRNA from 1 species